GGUGUUGUGCCAGAGAAAUUGGGUUACUUUGAUGAGGUAAAAUAUGGGAGCUUUCCCCAAUACCU
rnacentral:tRNA from 1 species